AGAGUUUGAUCCUGGCUCAGGAUGAACGCUAGCGACAGGCCUAACACAUGCAAGUCGAGGGGCAGCGGAGAGGUAGCAAUACCUCUGUCGGCGACCGGCGCACGGGUGAGUAACACGUAUGCAAUCCACCUGUAACAGGGGGAUAACCCGGAGAAAUCCGGACUAAUACCCCAUAAUAUGGGCGCUCCGCAUGGAGGGCUCAUUAAAGAAAGCAAUUUUGGUUACAGACGAGCAUGCGCUCCAUUAGCCAGUUGGCGGGGUAACGGCCCACCAAAGCGACGAUGGAUAGGGGUUCUGAGAGGAAGGUCCCCCACAUUGGAACUGAGACACGGUCCAAACUCCUACGGGAGGCAGCAGUGAGGAAUAUUGGUCAAUGGUCGGCAGACUGAACCAGCCAAGUCGCGUGAGGGAAGACGGCCCUACGGGUUGUAAACCUCUUUUGUCGGAGAGUAAAGUACGCUACGUGUAGCGUAUUGCAAGUAUCCGAAGAAAAAGCAUCGGCUAACUCCGUGCCAGCAGCCGCGGUAAUACGGAGGAUGCGAGCGUUAUCCGGAUUUAUUGGGUUUAAAGGGUGCGUAGGCGGCACGCCAAGUCAGCGGUGAAAUUUCCGGGCUCAACCCGGAGUGUGCCGUUGAAACUGGCGAGCUAGAGUACACAAGAGGCAGGCGGAAUGCGUGGUGUAGCGGUGAAAUGCAUAGAUAUCACGCAGAACCCCGAUUGCGAAGGCAGCCUGCUAGGGUGAAACAGACGCUGAGGCACGAAAGCGUGGGUAUCGAACAGGAUUAGAUACCCUGGUAGUCCACGCAGUAAACGAUGAAUACUAACUGUUUGCGAUACAAUGUAAGCGGUACAGCGAAAGCGUUAAGUAUUCCACCUGGGGAGUACGCCGGCAACGGUGAAACUCAAAGGAAUUGACGGGGGC
rnacentral:rRNA from 1 species